CCCCAGCACGGGAAUGCACAGCUUAUGAGUUCUUCGAUUGCAUGACUCCUUCGUACGAUUCUUAUACCCAAGGUGUGAUUGAGCAGUCGUGCCAUUGCCCGGUCCCAUGCUUCAAUCGGCAAUAUAAACCAUCGGUAUCUACUUUGACAUCUCCGUCACUGCACUGGUCUACCUACGCAGCUGACCAGUUACAGGUGACGCCGGAACAUUUCAGGGAUAACAUAUGUUCACUUGUGAUAUUCAUGAAGGAGCUGAGCAUCGAAACUAUUUCGCAACAGAUCAAAUACCCGUUCUUCA